UUGGUGAAAGAUGCCAGAGUCUGAGGUCCUCAAUCUACAGAGCAGGUGCAACCUGAAUAGCAGAAGUACAAGUUUCUCCAUGUUGCUUUGGCAACAUAGCUCAACCUUCCCAGAAAGGACCACCUCUAGGAGUUAGAAGGAAGUUCAAUCUCCAUGCUCAGCCAAUCACUGGUCUCU
rnacentral:sRNA from 1 species